CCGCAAGGGGUCACGCUAUACCUGGUCGGCGACCGGCGCACGGGCGACAAAACAGCGUAUGUAACCUGCCCGCAACAGAGGGAUAACCCGGCGAAAGUCGGACUAAUACCUCAUAAAACAGGGGUUCCGCAUGGGGCUAUUUGUUAAAGAUUUAUUGGUUGCGGAUGGGCAUGCGUACCAUUAGGUAGUUGGUGAGGUAACGGUUCACCAAGCCAUCGAUGGUUAGGGGUUCUGAGAGGAAGGUCCCCCACACUGGUACUGAGACACGGACCAGACUCCUACGGGAGGCAGCAGUGAGGAAUAUUGGUCAAUGGGCGAGAGCCUGAACCAGCCAAGUCGCGUGAAGGAUGACUGCCCUAUGGGUUGUAAACUUCUUUUACAGGGGAAUAAAAUGAGAUACGUGUAUUUUAUUGCAUGUACCUUGUGAAUAAGCAUCGGCUAACUCCGUGCCAGCAGCCGCGGUAAUACGGAGGAUGCGAGCGUUAUCCGGAUUUAUUGGGUUUAAAGGGUGCGUAGGUGAGCUGUUAAGUCCGCGGUGAAAGUUUGUCGCCUAACGAUAAAAUU
rnacentral:rRNA from 1 species